CACCAUAGCAAUGAUGUCUAGGGGUUUUGAGAGGAAGGCCCCCCACACUGGGACUGAGACACGGCCCAGACUCCUACGGGAGGCAGCAGUGAGGAAUAUUGGACAAUGGAUGGAAAUCUGAUCCAGCCAUGCCGCGUGCAGGAAGACGGCCUUAUGGGUUGUAAACUGCUUUUAUACGGGAGCAAUAAGGGUUACGAGUAAUCCGAUGAGAGUACUGUAUGAAUAAGGAUCGGCUAACUCCGUGCCAGCAGCCGCGGUAAUACGGAGGAUCCGAGCGUUAUCCGGAAUUAUUGGGUUUAAAGGGUGCGUAGGCGGCCAUUUAAGUCAGCGGUGAAAUUUUGCAGCUUAACUGUAACAGUGCCGUUGAUACUGUUUGGCUAGGAUUUGGUUGUAGUGUGCGGAAUGUGUGGUGUAGCGGUGAAAUGCUUAGAUAUCACACAGAACACCGAUUGCGAAGGCAGCACACUAAGUCAUUAUUGACGCUGAGGCACGAAAGUGUGGGGAUCAAACAGGAUUAGAUACCCUGGUAGUCCACACUGUAAACGAUGAUAACUCGCUGUCGGCGAUACACAGUCGGUGGCCAAGCGAAAGCAUUAAGUUAUCCACCUGGGGAGUACGACCGCAAGGUUGAAACUCAAAGGAAUUGACGGGGGCCCGCACAAGCGGAGGAACAUGUGGUUUAAUUCGAUGAUACGCGAGGAACCUUACCCGGGCUCGAACGGUGCAUGAAUAUACGAGAGAUUGUAUAGUCCUUCGGGACAUGUAUCGAGGUGCUGCAUGGUUGUCGUCAGCUCGUGCCGUGAGGUGACGGCUUAAGUGCCAUAACGAGCGCAACCCUUGUCAUUAGUUGCCAGGAAAUCAAGCUGGGGACUUUAAUGAGACUGCCACCGUAAGGUGUGAGGAAGGGGGGGGAUGACGUCAAAUCAGCACGGCCCUUAUGUCCGGGGCGACACACGUGUUACAAANNGAGGUACAGAGGGCAGCUAUCCGGUGACGGAAUGCUAAUCUCCAAAACCUUUCUCAGUUCGGAUUGGAGUCUGCAACUCGACUCCAUGAAGGUGGAUUCGCUAGUAAUCGCGCAUCAGCCAUGGCGCGGUGAAUACGUUCCCGGGC
rnacentral:rRNA from 1 species